GUAGGGAAUAUUGGACAAUGGGCGAAAGCCUGAUCCAGCCAUGCCGCGUGAUAGAUGAAGGCCCUCUGGGUUGUAAAUAUCUUUUAUCUGGGAAGAAACUCCUCUAUUCUUAGAGGCCUGACGGUACCAGAGGAAUAAGCACCGGCUAACUCCGUGCCAGCAGCCGCGGUAAUACGGAGGGUGCAAGCGUUAUCCGGAUUCACUGGGUUUAAAGGGUGCGUAGGCGGGUUGAUAAGUCAGUGGUGAAAGCUCCGGGCUUAACUUGGAAACUGCCAUUGAUACUGUCAGUCUUGAAUGUCGUAGAGGUAAGCGGAAUGUUGCAUGUAGCGGUGAAAUGCUUAGAUAUGUUACAGAACACCAAUUGCGAAGGCAGCUUACUAUGCGAUAAUUGACGCUGAGGCACGAAAGCGUGGGGAGCAAACAGGAUUAGAAACCCGUGUAGUCC
rnacentral:rRNA from 1 species